GUCGGUGGUUGAUAGCGGCAGGGAAACGCCCGGUCCCAUUCCGAACCCGGAAGCUAAGCCUGCCCGCGCUGAUGGUACUGCACUCGGGAGGGUGUGGGAGAGUAGGUUGCCGCCGACG
rfam:Corynebacterium humireducens NBRC 106098 = DSM 45392, complete genome.